rnacentral:rRNA from 1 species
UACGUAGGGUGCAAGCGUUAAUCGGAAUUACUGGGCGUAAAGCGUGCGCAGGCGGUUAUGUAAGACAGAUGUGAAAUGCCCGGGCUUAACCCGGGAACUGCAUUUGUGACUGCAUGGCUAGAGUUUGGCAGAGGGGGGUAGAAUUCCACGUGUAGCAGUGAAAUGCGUAGAUAUGUGGAGGAACACCGAUGGCGAAGGCAGCCCCCUGGGUCAAGACUGACGCUCAUGCACGAAAGCGUGGGGAGCAAACAGG